AACCAGCACCUCAAGUGGUCAGGAGGAUUAUUGGGCCUAAAGCAUCCGUAGCCGGCUCUGUAAGUUUUCGGUUAAAUCCAUGUGCUCAACGCAUGGGCUGCCGAAAAUACUGCAUAGCUAGGGAGUGGGAGAGGUAGACGGUACUCGGUAGGAAGGGGUAAAAUCCUUUGAUCUAUCGAUGACCACCUGUGGCGAAGGCGGUCUACCAGAACACGUCCGACGGUGAGGGAUGAAAGCUGGGGGAGCAAACCGG
rnacentral:rRNA from 1 species